rnacentral:rRNA from 1 species
UGCCAGCAGCCGCGGUAAUACAUAGGGGUCAAUCGUUGUCCGGAUUUAUUGGGCGUAAAGAGCUCGUAGGCGGAACAGAAAGUUAGAAGUGAAAUCCCUGGGCUCAACCUAGGAAUUGCAUUUAAAACUUCUGUUCUGGAAUUAAGGAGAGGAAAAUGGAAUAUCCAGUGUAGAGGUGAAAUUCGUAGAUAUUGGAUGGAACACCAGUGGCGAAGGCGAUUUUCUGGACUUAUAUUGACGCUGAGAUGCGAAGGCAUGGGUAGCAAACGGGAUUAGAUA